AAGGAGUCUAACAUAUAUGCGAGUAUUUGGGUGAUUCAAACCCCAUAUGCGUAAUGAAAGUGAUAAGGUGGGAAUGUGUUAUAGCAUGCACCAUCGACCGGUCUGGACUCUUCUUUAAGUGAAAGAUCUGAGUAAGAGCAUAUCUGUUGGGACCCGAAAGAUAGUGAACUAUGCCUGAAUAGGGUGAAGCCAGAGGAAACUCUGGUGGAGGCUCGUAGCGGUUCUGACGUGCAAAUCGAUCGUCAAAUUUGGGUAUAGGGGCGAAAGACUAAUCGAACUAUCUGGUAGCUGGUUCCCUC
rnacentral:misc_RNA from 1 species